GUGCUCACUUGGCAGCACAUAUACUAAAAUUAGAAUGAUACAGAGAUUAGCAUGGCCCCUUUACAAGGAUGACAGGCAAAUUUGUGAAGAGAGAACCAUCAGA